rnacentral:lncRNA from 1 species
GUCAUGAUAGUGAUGAAAUUAAUUUCUUCAACUUAAAAUCUGAGAACUUGCAUUCUCAAGCUAUUAUUUUUUUGAUACAAUAGCCUUCGAUAAUUUGUUAUUUGUACAUAUCAAUCAUUCCUUUGUUUGUAUUGAGUACUUUAUAAAAGUUUUAAAGAAAUUUCCAUGUGAUUUUGGAUCAAACCAAUGCAUAUUUCAUUGUAUUCGUCUAAUUUUAACUAUGUUUAGUAGAUACUUAAUUGAUAUUAAGGAAUAGAAAUCUUGAACUUCAUACUAGCAAUACUGGUAGUUAUUCUAUUUCAACCAAUAUCUAUUCUUUUUAGUGAAGUAGCUUUAUAAUCUUGAUCUUUAUACUAGCAAUACUAGUAGUUAUUCCUUUUUUAAGCAAUAUCUCUUCUUUUUAAUGAAGAAGCUUUAUAAUCAAUACUGGUAGUUAUUCCUUUUUCAAGCAAUAUCUCUUCUUCUUAAUGAAGUAUCUUUAUAAUCUUGAUCUUCAUACUAGCAAUACUGGUAGUUACUCUAUUUUAAGCAAUAUGUCUUCUUAUUAGUGAAGUAGCUUUAUAAUCUUGAUCUUCAUACUAGCAAUACUGGUAGUUAUUCUAUUUCAAGCAAUAUCUCUUCUU